GAGCAGGGUGGCAAGCUUAUGUUGCAUAUGUGAACAUAAUUUGUUACUAUUUGUUUGGUAUUCCAAUAGGUCUCAUACUUGGCUUCUUCUUUGACAUUGGCGUUAUGGGUAUUUGGUUUGGGAUGCUUGCAGGUACAACUGUUCAAACUGGUGUGUUAAUCAUAUUGAUCCUUCGAACUAAUUGGAACAAGGAGGCUUCCCUUGUUGGACAUAGGAUAAAACAAUGGGGAGGAGAUUCAAGGGCCAAAGAAAUUGAUGAACGAUAGAAGAAUAAUGUUUUGUUCGUUUCAGUCAUGACUACUUCGUUUACUAAAAAGAAACUAAGAAUAAGCUUUUCAUCAUGAAAAUUAAAUCAAGCCAAGGAACCACAAGGUUUCUUAUGACAUUUUAUGUGUAUAAGUUGGAAUUAUAUUGGAAGCAAAAUCUGUAGUUGCAACAACUAAACUUCCAAUCCAAC
rnacentral:misc_RNA from 1 species